UUGCGAAUGCCUUUCGUGUUGUUGACCCGAUUCGGAUCUCCGGAAUCAAGAUGAGGGUUGCAUGGUCGCAUUGGACACUCCACUGGAUGCCCGUGCUACGAUGGCCGUUCCUGAGGAAUACGAAUCGGCCCUAGGGCGGGGAGUUGCCCCUCUGGUGUGAUUGUCUGGUCAAACGCAAUCGCUUAGCUACACAGGGCGUGUUGGCUUGCCAGGCUAGAUACUAAACCAUUCUCGAAAUUCGGCACUCUUAGAACAGGGUCGCAUGGGUGUGGAUUCGGUUCUAGGGAGGAGAACUGUGGAUAUCAUGACCAGGUUGGGGCUGUGGAACAUCUUGUGCGUGUUGCCCGAUGAGACGGUGGAUCAUCGUCACCGUGACUGGACCGAGGAUGCCAUGGAGCAGCCGAGGACUUCCCACGACAGCAGAGACUUGGGUUCUUGGACAGACGUUAGGAAUGUAAAGGCUUCCGCUGCAGGUGGGGUGUUUGAAGUUGCAGGAGGAUAGACACGGUGAACUGCUUCAGUGGGGGUGCGCACAUGCUUGCAUGAUUCCGAGCUGGUGCCACUAAUUUGAUUGUGCACCCAGAUAUGGCGACAACGGGAGCUCAGAAACAAGGAGCAUCGACAGUGCAACCUCUGAACUCACUCCCUGCGCACUUCCUUCCUCGACGGAGCUACUGACGUCGAUAGCUGCAAUGACCCCACGUCGCCAGUCGUUGCCUGCAUUGGACAGGUGAAGAAGAAUAAGUCGAACACGCCGCUCGUCACGGCGAUCAAAACGGCAAUGGGAACAUCAGACGCUGUACCCGAUCUGCGGAGCUAGAAAUCAAAGCGAGAGAGGUCUGAGAGUGUGGUGGACUCGUCUACGACGCUGUCCAAAUGGCGACAAAUUCUGGGCGCAAGAGUGGCGGCAAUGCCCAGGACACAGACCCGCCAGGAAGUGGAGUUUCACGUGGAUCUGGACAGGUUCAGCUCGGCUAGCCCCGCCAUCGCCAGACCUGCUGCUUUGUCCACCUCAAAGCAAACGCAGUAUCACAGCAGUAGAGCUUCAUGGUUUAAACACAUCAGAACAGGGAACAAUAACAAGGUUUAGUUACUAGUUGUUACUUCACAGUCAGUUUUAGAAAAGAACCCGUUUCAAGUGCAAUUGCAAUAUCGGUGGAUUUGUUGUAAAAGGAUGUUCUUAACUGUUCAUUUCGAAAUUUCAUUCCCAAUUAUUUAUUUUUUUACA